AGGGGGGCAGUGAUGUUGAAAAAACUACCUAUUUUCUGAGGGGAAAUACCCCUUUGAUUAUAAAAUUUUACCAAUGGAUCCUUCUGAGCCCCCU